CAGCGAAAGGUGCUUGCACCUUUCAGUGAGUGGCGAACGGGUGAGUAACACGUGGACAACCUGCCUCAAGGCUGGGGAUAACAUUUGGAAACAGAUGCUAAUACCGAAUAAAACUCAGUGUCGCAUGACACAAAGUUAAAAGGCGCUUUGGCGUCACCUAGAGAUGGAUCCGCGGUGCAUUAGUUAGUUGGUGGGGUAAAGGCCUACCAAGACAAUGAUGCAUAGCCGAGUUGAGAGACUGAUCGGCCACAUUGGGACUGAGACACGGCCCAAACUCCUACGGGAGGCUGCAGUAGGGAAUCUUCCACAAUGGGCGAAAGCCUGAUGGAGCAACGCCGCGUGUGUGAUGAAGGCUUUCGGGUCGUAAAGCACUGUUGUAUGGGAAGAACAGCUAGAAUAGGGAAUGAUUUUAGUUUGACGGUACCAUACCAGAAAGGGACGGCUAAAUACGUGCCAGCAGCCGCGGUAAUACGUAUGUCCCGAGCGUUAUCCGGAUUUAUUGGGCGUAAAGCGAGCGCAGACGGUUGAUUAAGUCUGAUGUGAAAGCCCGGAG
rnacentral:rRNA from 1 species